UACGUAGGGUGCGAGCGUUGUCCGGAAUUAUUGGGCGUAAAGGGCUCGUAGGCGGUUUGUCACGUCAGGAGUGAAAACUCGGGGCUCAACCCCGAGCCUGCUUCUGAUACGGGCAGACUAGAGGUAUGCAGGGGAGAACGGAAUUCCUGGUGUAGCGGUGAAAUGCGCAGAUAUUGGGAAGAACACCAGUGGCGAAGGCGGUUCUCUGGGACGGUACUGACGCUGAGACGCGAAAGCGUGGGGAGCGAACAGG
rnacentral:rRNA from 1 species